rnacentral:rRNA from 1 species
UACGUAGGGCGCAAGCGUUGUCCGGAAUUAUUGGGCGUAAAGAGCGCGUAGGCGGCCUGUUGCGUCCGCUGUGAAAUCCCGGGGCUCAACCCCGGGCGUGCAGUGGAUACGGGCUGGCUGGAGGCAGGCAGGGGAGAACGGAAUUCCUGGUGUAGCGGUGAAAUGCGCAGAUAUCAGGAGGAACACCGGUGGCGAAGGCGGCUCUCUGGGACGGUACUGACGCUGAGACGCGAAAGCGUGGGGAGCGAACAGG